GUACUACUCCCUCCGUCCGAAAAGGCUUGUCCCUCAAAUAGAUGUAUCUAGCACCAAGUUAGUGCUAGAUACAUCCAUUUGAGAAACAAGCUUGGGACAAGCUUUUUCGGACGGAGUGAGUACUAG
rnacentral:pre_miRNA from 1 species